UACGGAGGUGGCAAGCGUUGCUCGGAAUCACUGGGCGUAAAGGGCGCGUAGGCGGGGAGGUAAGUCGGGUGUGAAAUCCCUCGGCUUAACCGGGGAACUGCAUCUGAUACUGGAUGGCUUGAGUUCGGGAGAGGGAUGUGGAAUUCCAGGUGUAGCGGUGAAAUGCGUAGAUAUCUGGAGGAACACCGGUGGCGAAGGCGGCAUCCUGGACCGACACUGACGCUGAGGAGCGAAAGCCAGGGGAGCAAACGGG
rnacentral:rRNA from 1 species